AGUCGCGUGGUCUAAUGGUUAUGAUUUCUCGUUCACAAUUUGAUUCUUGUGUACAAACAAAAGUCUCCGACUUCCGAGAAGGUUCCGUGUUCGAUCCACGGCGUGACUA
rnacentral:tRNA from 1 species